ensembl:snRNA U6 U6 spliceosomal RNA
GCGCUUCGGCAGCACAUAUACUAAAAUUGGAAUGAUACAGAGAAGAUUAGCAGGGCCCCUGCACAAGGAUGACACGCAAGUCUGUGAAGCCUUCCAUAUUAAA